AUUGAACGCUGGCGGCAGGCUUAACACAUGCAAGUCGAGCGGAGAUGAGGUGCUUGCACCUUAUCUUAGCGGCGGACGGGUGAGUAAUGCUUAGGAAUCUGCCUAUUAGUGGGGGACAACAUUCCGAAAGGAAUGCUAAUACCGCAUACGCCCUACGGGGGAAAGCAGGGGAUCUUCGGACCUUGCGCUAAUAGAUGAGCCUAAGUCGGAUUAGCUAGUUGGUGGGGUAAAGGCCUACCAAGGCGACGAUCAGUAGCAGAACUGAGAGGUUCAUCUGCCACAUUGGAACUGAGACACGGUCCAAACUCCUACGGGAGGCAGCAGUGAGGAAUAUUGGACAAUGGGCGCAAGCCUGAUCCAGCCAUGCCGCGUGGGUGAAGAAGGCCUUCGGGUUGUAAACUUCUUUUCCAGGGGGUGAAUAAUUCCGAUGUAUCGGGAGAUGACGGUACCCUGGGAAUAAGCAUCGGCUAACUCCGUG
rnacentral:rRNA from 1 species